UACGAAGGGGGCUAGCGUUGUUCGGAAUUACUGGGCGUAAAGCGCACGUAGGCGGUUAGCAUAGUCAGGUGUGAAAGCCCCGGGCUCAACCCGGGAACUGCACUUGAUACUGGUUAACUAGAGUUCGGGAGAGGAGAGUGGAAUUCCCAGUGUAGAGGUGAAAUUCGUAGAUAUUGGGAAGAACACCAGUGGCGAAGGCGGCUCUCUGGUCCGAUACUGACGCUGAGGUGCGAAAGCGUGGGGAGCAAACAGG
rnacentral:rRNA from 1 species